UACGGGGGGGGCAAGCGUUGUUCGGAAUUACUGGGCGUAAAGAGCGCGCAGGCGGUCGUUCAAGUCGAGUGUGAAAGCCCCCGGCUCAACUGGGGAGGGUCACUCGAUACUGAUCGACUCGAAGGCAGGAGAGGGAAGCGGAAUUCCCGGUGUAGUGGUGAAAUGCGUAGAUAUCGGGAGGAACACCAGUGGCGAAGGCGGCUUUCUGGCCUGCUCUUGACGCUGAGGCGCGAAAGCUAGGGUAGCAAACGGG
rnacentral:rRNA from 1 species